rnacentral:rRNA from 1 species
AUUGAACGCUGGCGGCAGGCCUAACACAUGCAAGUCGAGCGGGGUUUUCGGACCUAGCGGCGGACGGGUGAGUAAUGCGUAGGAAGCUACCCGAUAGAGGGGGAUACCAGUUGGAAACGACUGUUAAUACCGCAUAAUGUCUACGGACCAAAGUGUGGGACCUUCGGGCCACAUGCUAUCGGAUGCGCCUACGUGGGAUUAGCUAGUUGGUGGGGUAAUGGCUCACCAAGGCGACGAUCCCUAGCUGGUUUGAGAGGAUGAUCAGCCACACUGGAACUGAGACACGGUCCAGACUCCUACGGGAGGCAGCAGUGGGGAAUAUUGGACAAUGGCGCAAGCCUCGAUCCAGCCAUGCCGCGUGUGUGAAGAA